rnacentral:rRNA from 1 species
GACGAACGCUGGCGGCGUGCCUAAUACAUGCCAGUAGAACGCACAGUUUAUACCGUAGCUUGCUACACCAUAGACUGUGAGUUGCGAACGGGUGAGUAACGCGUAGGUAACCUGCCUGGUAGCGGGGGAUAACUAUUGGAAACGAUAGCUAAUACCGCAUAAUAUUAAUUAUUGCAUGAUAAUUAAUUGAAAGGUGCAAUUGCACCACUACCAGAUGGACCUGCGUUGUAUUAGCUAGUAGGUGAGGUAACGGCUCACCUAGGCGACGAUACAUAGCCGACCUGAGAGGGUGAUCGGCCACACUGGGACUGAGACACGGCCCAGACUCCUACGGGAGGGAGCAGUAGGGAAUCUUCGGCAAUGGACGAAAGGCUGACCGAGCAACGCCGCGUGAGUGAAGAAGGGUUUCGGAUCGUAAAGCUCUGUUGUAAGAGAAGAACGGGUGUGAGAGUGGAAAGUUCACACUGUGACGGUAUCUUACCAGAAAGGGACGGCUAACUACGUG